UACAAACUGUGCGAACGUUAUUCGGAAUCACUGGGCUUAAAGGGUGCGUAGGCGGCUGCCUAAGUCAGGUGUGAAAUCUCCCGGCUCAACCGGGAAACUGCGCUUGAUACUGGGCGGCUCGAGUGAGGUAGGGGUGUGUGGAACUUCCGGUGGAGCGGUGAAAUGUGUAGAUAUCGGAAGGAACGCCAGCAGCGAAAGCGGCACACUGGGCCUUUUCUGACGCUGAGGCACGAAAGCCAGGGGAGCGAACGGG
rnacentral:rRNA from 1 species